rnacentral:rRNA from 1 species
UGAGCAACCUGCCCUUGACUCUGGAAUAACAGUUGGAAACAGCUGCUAAUACCGGAUACGACCUCCGACGGCAUCAUCUGGAGGUGGAAAGCUCCGACGGUCAAGGAUGGGCUCGCGGCCUAUCAGCUUGUUGGUAAGGUAACGGCUCACCAAGGCUUCGACGGGUAGCCGGCCUGAGAGGGCGACCGGCCACACUGGGACUGAGAUACCGGCCCAGACCUCCGUACGGGAG